CAGCCGUAAACUAUGCGCGUUAGGUGUACUGGUGACCACGAGUCACCGGGGUGCCGAGGGGAAACCGUGAAACGUGCCGCCUGGGAAGUACGGUCGCAAGGCUGAAACUUAAAGGAAUUGGCGGGGGAGCACCACAACAGGUGGAGCCUGCGGUUUAAUUGGAUUCAACACCGUAAAACUCACCAGGGAAGACUGUUACAUGAAAGCCGAGUUGAAGACUCUGCUAGAUUUUCAGAGAGGAGGUGCAUGGCGUCAGUGACU
rnacentral:rRNA from 1 species